AAUCUUCCGCAAUGGGCGAAAGCCUGACGGAGCGACGCCGCGUGGGGGACGAAGGUCUUCGGAUUGUAAACCUCUCUUCUGAAGGGAGAACGUGCCGCCGGUUAAUAGCCGGCUGUAUUGACGGUACUUUAGGAAUAAGACCCGGCUAACUACGUGCCAGCAGCCGCGGUAAUACGUAGGGGGCGAGCGUUGUCCGGAAUCACUGGGCGUAAAGGGCGUGUAGGCGGCUAAGGAAGUCGCAUGUGAAAUCCCACGGCUCAACCGUGGAACUGCCUGCGAAACCACUUAGCUUGAGGACAGGAGAGGAAAGUGGAAUUCCUGGUGUAGCGGUGAUAUGCGUAGAUAUCAGGAGGAACACCGGUGGCGAAGGCGGCUUUCUGGCCUGGUCCUGACGCUGAGGCGCGAAAGCUAGGGUAGCGAAC
rnacentral:rRNA from 1 species